rnacentral:rRNA from 1 species
GGGGAAUAUUGCGCAAUGGGGGAAACCCUGACGCAGCAACGCCGCGUGCGGGAUGAAGGCCUUCGGGUUGUAAACCGCUUUCAGCCGGGACGAAGGGUUUCUGACGGUAACUGCAGAAGAAGCACCGGCUAACUCCGUGACAGCAGCCGCGGUAAUACGUAGGUGGCGAGCGUUGUCCGGAAUUACUGGGCGUAAAGGGCGCGUAGGCGGCUCUUUAAGUUAGAUGUGAAAACCCAGGGCUCAACCCUGGGAGUGCAUUUAAAACUGAAGGGCUCGAGUGCAGGAGAGGUAAGUGGAAUUCCUAGUGUAGCGGUGAAAUGCGUAGAUAUUAGAAGGAACACCAGUGGCGAAGGCGACUUACUGGACUGUAACUGACGCUGAGGCGCGAAAGCGUGGGGAGCAAACA